AGCUAUACUCACAACAGGCUCAGCUGAAAAGUCUGCCCUCAUCUUUCUUAGAGGCCUCCUUUAAGUACCAUUCAGCCUUCUCCUCUCUGGACUGAACAUGUCCAGCUCUCUGAGCAUCCUUUCACAGAAGAGCCUAUGAAGAAGCCUGCACUAGAGCUGAUAUUUCCAUGAAUCCUAUGGAGAGAGCGAUGCCAAAGUAGAUAUCCAUGUUGCGGCCCAUGAAGGACAUUGCACUGGAGCAAAUGGAUAUGCAACUGCAACACUUAGAGAGCUCACAUUGGAGUUGGCUUAGACUGAAAGACUGCAGCCUGUGAAGAGGCCCUAUUCUGGAUGAGGAGGCAAGUUGACCACUGUAGGGGAAUGUGCUGGUUUGAGACUAACGGAAAUAUUUUACUGAGUGAAAUUAAAUCCUUAGCUGUGAAAAGAAAGAAGAAAAACAACAUGUGCCCGACAUCACCAUUCCUCGGCUGAGAA